UUGCAAUGUAAAACUAUAAAAAACUCAGAUGUUUUUAAUCAUGAUUAAUGACAGAAAAAAUGUCAAAUUAAUUAGUUAAUUUUUUUAAUCGAUUGACAGCUGUGAUUUUUACCCAAAAUAGGGUGGUGUGAGCAUUAUUGAGCACUAAAAACACAUCAUGUCAUUUCAUUCAUAAUGGAAGCUGGAAGGCGCCCUCACACAGAAAGUCCAAUAUGCCUCACAGAAGUAAUAUAACUUAUGAUGUUCCAGAAAAUCCCUAAUAUGGACAAAGGCAUCCAGCUAUUGCUGUAGCUGAAUAAAAAAAGAUAGAAACACUGAUAAAUCUGAAGACAAUAAAACACACGACUGUGACAAUAUAUGGUUUAUCUGUGUUCUUCAAGCCAUUUUGGGUAUUUUCAUAAGAAUAAAGUAUAUUUAUAAUGCAGUGCUAAUCAACAUAGCAUUAAUUAAAGUGUAGAAUACUACGAAAUAAUAUAAUAAUAAUAAUAAUAAUAAUAAGCUUUAUUUUCUAUAGCGCCUUCAAAAGUAGCAUCUCAAGGCGCUUCACAGAAAGAAAAAAAAGCAUACAAUUAUACAAACAUUACUUUAAAAUAAGUGAGAUAAAAUAAAAAAUGAAAUAAAAAUAAACACACCAAACAAAUAAGAACAUACUAUCAAAAACAAGAAAAUUAAAAUUCAAUUUCAAUAUAAUCAAGUAAAAGCUACCCUAAAGAAUUAAGCUUUAAGGGAAGAUUUAAAAACACUAAGGGAUUCUGCUUGCCUAAUCCGAGCAGGCAAGGAAUUCCAAAGUCUUGGAGCCACUGAAGAAAAUGCCCUAUCACCCAUAGAUUUUAAACGGGUAUGUGGGACAAUAAAAAGGCCAGUUUCAGAAGAGCGGAGAGCACGCACAGGAGUGUAGGGGGCUAAAAGCUCAGUAAGAUAGUGAGGAGCCAAACCAUUCAAAGCUUUGUAGGUAAGCAUGAGAACUUUAAAAUCUACCCGAAAUCUGACAGGGAGCCAAUGUAAAGACUCCAAGACUGGAGUGAUAUGAUCCCUUGUCCUGGUUCCAGACAGGAUUCGGGCAGCUGAAUUUUGAACUAGCUGUAAUUUAUUUAGGGUAGCAUUUGAGACCCCGACCAGCAAAGCAUUACAAUAAUCAAUGCGAAAAAACACAAAGAUAUUGAUCAGCUUGAUCACUGGGUGGCUGAAAAACAUUGGCAAUGUUUUUUAGAUGAAAAAAUGAUGUCUUGACAGUGUUCUGAACAUGGGGAACAAAUGUUAAAUGUGCAUCAAAUAUCACCCCUAAAUUUCUUAAUUUUGUUUGAAAUUCCAGUGUAGAGCCAUCCACACUUAAAGUUAAAGACCCAGCCUUACGUAUCUGAUAGGGUGAACCAAUAAGCAUUACCUCUGUCUUGUCACUGUUCAGACACAAUAAAUUUCCAGACAUCCAUUUUUUAAUCUCAGAAAUACAUUGAGAGAGAAAAGACACAGCCACAUUAACAUCAGGUUUUGAAUGUACAUAAACCUGAGUGUCAUCUGCAUAAAAGUGAAAGUUGAGACCAAGUGAUCUUAAAAGUUGACCCAAUGGAUAAAUGUAAACGCU